ACUUAAAUUGAAGAGUUUGAUCAUGGCUCAGAUUGAACGCUGGCGGCAGGCCUAACACAUGCAAGUCGAGCGGUAGCACAGAGAGCUUGCUCUCGGGGGACGAGCGGCGGACGGGUGAGUAAUGUCUGGGAAACUGCCUGAUGGAGGGGGAUAACUACUGGAAACGGUAGCUAAUACCGCAUAACGUCGCAAGACCAAAGUGGGGGACCUUCGGGCCUCAUGCCAUCAGAUGUGCCCAGAUGGGAUUAGCUAGUAGGUGGGGUAACGGCUCACCUAGGCGACGAUCCCUAGCUGGUCUGAGAGGAUGACCAGCCACACUGGAACUGAGACACGGUCCAGACUCCUACGGGAGGCAGCAGUGGGGAAUAUUGCACAAUGGGCGCAAGCCUGAUGCAGCCAUGCCGCGUGUGUGAAGAAGGCCUUCGGGUUGUAAAGCACUUUCAGCGGGGAGGAAGGCGAUAAGGUUAAUAACCUUGUCGAUUGACGUUACCCGCAGAAGAAGCACCGGCUAACUCCGUGCCAGCAGCCGCGGUAAUACGGAGGGUGCAAGCGUUAAUCGGAAUUACUGGGCGUAAAGCGCAC
rnacentral:rRNA from 1 species